ACAUGAUUACAACAUAGCGUUAAUGCAAUGGAUCCCAUUAGAACUCUGCAAUUAAGCACGCUUGAGCUAGAGUAGUACUAGGAUGGGUGACCGCCCGGGAAGUCCUAGUAUUUUACAUGCC
rnacentral:rRNA from 1 species